rnacentral:lncRNA from 1 species
UUUACUUAUUCCGAAAGAAACCUCCCAGAAUAAACUCGUAUAGGAGGAUUCGAAUACGGAGAAUGACUAGUUGCUUAAGCGUUCACGUUAGGAUCACACAAUCAAUUAUCUCUUGAAUGUAUUGUCUCUAUUUCCAAUAUCUGAACACACAAAGAAACUAUAAUUUCCUCCUUCACCUUAUCGGUCUCUUCCUUACAACAAUUCAAUCAUACCAAUAACUGCUAUUUCUACCAAUAACUGCUAUUUCCACCCUCAUAAUCUCCAACUGUAAUACUAAGCCCUCACAACUUUCAGUAAACAAUUACCCUCAUUCCAAUCACUGGAAUUCUUAGUACAGAACUGCCAUUCACAUUAUGGUGUUUCACACAAACACAAACUCAUUCUCUCUGCUAAACUACAAUCAGAUUUCAGCAUUCAAUCUUUCUUCUUCUCAAAUAAUACCAAUCACAUUUCCAUUCCAUAAUUCACUUCACAAUAUUCAAAAACUCUCAAUCCUCUUAUUCAAAGAAAAUAACAAACAAAAGAAAAGAG